AUGGAGGGCACUCUGUCUUUAAAUAGGGAUAAAUCACUCUAAAAUACAUUACUCCUAGAUCAUUUUCCCUUCAAGUGUCUUGU
rnacentral:pre_miRNA from 1 species